AUCAAUAAGCGGAGGAAAAGAAACCAACAGGGAUUGCUCUAGUAACGGCGAGUGAAGCAGCAAUAGCUCAAAUUUGAAAUCUGGCGUCUUCGACGUCCGAGUUGUAAUUUGUAGAGGAUGCUUCUGAGUAACCACCGACCUAAGUUCCUUGGAACAGGACGUCAUAGAGGGUGAGAAUCCCGUAUGCGGUCGGAAAGGUGCUCUACACGUAGCUCCUUCGACGAGUCGAGUUGUUUGGGAAUGCAGCUCUAAAUGGGAGGUAAAUUUCUUCUAAAGCUAAAUAUUGGCCAGAGACCGAUAGCGCACAAGUAGAGUGAUCGAAAGAUGAAAAGCACUUUGGAAAGAGAGUUAAAAAGCACGUGAAAUUGUUAAAAGGGAAGGGAUUGCAACCAGACUUGCUCGCGGUGUUCCGCCGGUCUUCUGACCGGUCUACUCGCCGCGUUGCAGGCCAGCAUCGUCUGGUGCCGCUGGAUAAGACUUGAGGAAUGUAGCUCCCUCGGGAGUGUUAUAGCCUCUUGUGAUGCAGCGAGCGCCGGGCGAGGUCCGCGCUUCGGCUAGGAUGCUGGCGUAAUGGUCGUAAUCCGCCCGUCUUGAAACACGGACCAAGGAGUCUAACAUCU
rnacentral:rRNA from 1 species